CUUCCUUCCUCUCGGAGAGAACAACUCGAAGGAAAAAAAAAUUCCGACCCAAAAAAUCAUGCUACCUCUUUCUUCUUCUGAUUAUUCUGCCGAUGAUUAACUUAAGACCUAGAAUAUUAAAUUUGUGAAGGAAAAGAUGUAGUUUUCUUGGAAGUUCGUGGGGAUGAGUUUUUUUAAUUUUCCCAAAGGUUUCCCUCAAUGAAAGCUGAGAACAUGAAAAUAAGGAGCUAACUAAAAUUCAAAACACACCAAGCAGCUCAAACUCCACACAACAAUGAAGUUUGCACUGCGGCGGAGUCGCUUAGUCCAAUAUAAGGAGACGAGCAGCAGUCUAGAACGUACUGCGCUCCUCCUUUUGGGAUGAUGAACAUGUCAUUCUGAGGAGAAUAACCAGUUGCGGAUCAGCUUAAGUGUACGUGCAAGCCGUGGACUCAGUAUAACUCAACGAUCAACUUAUGGAGCAAGAGAAAGUCUUGCGCUGCCAACCUCACAGCUUUACGAAGUGACAGAACAGUUCAAAGUUCAUAUUUUUGUCAGUACUAAGCACAUCCGGUUACACUAUUUAAGUUAAAGAAGACACCGAAAAGAUGGGAGGCGCAAAAAUUGUCCAAGGAACUUCGCUAGUAAAGCCCUACGACAAUUUGGUUUGGUUCAAGCUGUGGUUCUUCAUCUUCUACAUUUUAUCCUAUUCCAGUAAUGUAGAUUGUAACUGCAGUGAUUAAAUUGCUAACACUUAAGUUGUUCUAAGGGUUUAUACUCGCUUUCCUCACAAGUUUCAGUUGGAUGGCUUUUGCAGAACUGUUAACACAAAAAGUUUGAAGAAUAUCGCCAAGAUGAUCAGUUCAGUUCUGGAAACAAACUAGCUCAACUACUGAGCUUCGAACUUCUUGAGGCGUUGCUUGUGGAGCAUUUGCCUAGAUUCUUACUCACAUAAAAUCCAUUCAAGUCCCUCUUUCCUGAUAAUGAUCUGUUUAGUCAGAAAGUGCUUCUUGUUAAUUUACUCUCUUCUACAGGGUGCUGGAAACCUUCUCUGCGAGGUCACUGUUACAGUCACUGUUGCACCUAGUUUGCCACUCAAGUUGGGAUGUGCGUAAAGUGGCUUAUGAUGCUCUGAAGAAGGUCAUCACGGGCUCUCCACAAUUGUGUGAUGAUCUCUUGCUUGAAUUUACAAGUUUUCUUUCUUUAGUUGGGCAGCGAAUGCAGUUUCGUAAAUUAAGUGUUGUGAACAGGUGGUCACUUGCUUGAACUUAUGUAUUGGCAACAUCUCGCAAGUUAUGUUUGCUGUAUAGUGAUGCAGAGACUUUGGUGGAUUCCCAAGCGCCCUUCCUUCCAUCUAUCGAGGUUUUAGUGAAGGCCCUGCUUGUCAUUUCAUCACGAGCUCUUGAUGCAAGAACUAAUGCUCGUGGAAAUUUUUUAUUCUGUUCGCACCAUCCAUGCUUAGUUAACACAAAGAAAAGAGACGCAGUAUGGAAGAAGUCGCAGCAUUGAUAAUUUGGUAUGAAUAAAGAAAAGAAACUAUUUAAAGUAAUUGUUUUAUCAGACACAUCGAAAAGUCUCAUUCAUUUCUUUUUUGCUCAGCGUUCGAUAUCGAAGGUUCUUCAUCAUCUUGGUCGUAUUUACAAGAUGAUAAUUCAGCAUCCUCGUGUGAUCAUCUUCUCAAAGCCACAAUAAUUUGCUGCAUUCUGAUUACUCAUUGUAAGAGAUUGUAACAUUUUGUUUCUAUAUGCAAUCCUUAGAAGCUAAAACAAACAUAGUUGCACCAGCACAAUGUGAGAAACAAGAAUAUAUUUACAUGUGCAAUCUUUCAGUUGUACAAUUUGACAUCUGAUUUUCUUAAUGAAACCUGUAACAUGUCUUUGAUGUCAUGAGUUCCCUGCUUUUUAUUGUAUUUGGUUCCCUUUCUUUGUAGAAUGUCUUUGAGGUUU